GAAAUACAUUUAACAGGUGCAACUGACGUGGAGGGACCUAAUCUUGUAUGUUGAAUUUUUACCUCUUGUUGCAGCUGUUAAACAUACAAGCAGUCUGCAAGGGGAGGAAGGGGUUGUCGUAUUCUGAAGAGCAAAAAAGAGGACACAUUUGCUGACUUCUACUUUUUAACUAUGGAUCACUAUGACGAGUCGUGGAAAAGAGGACGUGUCCUGGAAAAAGCAGACAUAUGGCAACCCGGCUCCCACUUCCAGGAUGGAAAACUUCCUCUCUGUUUUCAGCCCACACAGCCUAUGAACGUACGCACAAGCAUAUUCUCAAUAAUGCACAUUAGUUGCCCCUCUUGUGUUCAGAAGUAAAUCAAAGGAGUUUAUUUCCAAGCAGUUGAACAACUAUCUUAGAAUCAUAGAAUGGUAGAGUUGGAAGGGACACCAGGGGCCAAUCCAGUCCAGCCCCUGCAAAUAUAGGAAUCUUCUGCCCAGCAUGGGGCUUGAACCUAUGAAAGUGAAAUUAAGAGUCUCGUGCACUACCAACAUACACUUUCAAGGGUGAAAGUUGGACUUCUACAAUCUUUACAAUGGAAACUGGUAGGUUGCAGGUUUGAUCCCUGUAAAUGUCAGCUGCAUAUUCCUCCAUUGCAGGGUGUGGAUCAAUGAUCCUCAAGUUCCCUUCCAACUCUUGUGAUUCUAACCCAUUUGUGAGUGCAGGACAUGGAGGUAAUAAUUUCACAGGAAAUAAUAGCAUGGUGCUUCCACACUAAUCUUUUAGGUAUUGACUACCCAUUGGUCCUAGACUAGAGAAUCCAGAUGCUGCUCAUUCCAAACCAUUGCAUUCCAAUGUCUUUCCCAAUGUCAUCCCACUUUUUUCCUCAUGGCCCAGUUACUCACAAUUUUAAAACUUCCACCAUAAUUAAAAUGCAGUCCUUUCAGAAAAAAACUUGGCUAUGGUUACAUUCCUGUUGCACACUUACCCAGAAGACAGCUCUGUUGAACACUGUGGGUCUUACUUCCAAAUAAACAUGCAUAGGUUCACACACUGCAGAGCUAUUGUUCCACAGAAUAUGAAAGUAUUUGUAUAUGUGUGUUUUAAAGUGGCUGAAGACACUUUGUAACCCUUCCUUUCUGGUUUGUCUGCCUAUCCCUCUACCCCAGCAAUGCUUAAUUUCUGUCAGUUUGACUCUGCAGUGUGUUAUCAGGGUGUCUUUGUUUUUCAAUCUUGUCGAUAACGUAUGUUGCAGAAGUGGU